rnacentral:rRNA from 1 species
UACGUAGGGUGCGAGCGUUUAAUCGGAAUUACUGGGCGUAAAGCGUGCGCAGGCGGUUCGUUAAGUCAGAUGUGAAAGCCCCGGGCUCAACCUGGGAACUGCAUUUGAAACUGGCGGGCUUGAGUAUGGCAGAGGGGGGUGGAAUUCCGCGUGUAGCAGUGAAAUGCGUAGAGAUGCGGAGGAACACCGAUGGCGAAGGCAGCCCCCUGGGCCAAUACUGACGCUCAGGCACGAAAGCGUGGGGAGCAAACAGG